UGGGCUUCAGAAUCUACUAUCCAGUGUUCAGUCACUUCCUUUGAGAGGCUACUACAUCAUGGUGACUUGAUCCAAGCAUCCAAGGUCCUCUGAGAGCACGGGCAGAACUGUGUUUGUCAAGGAGUUUGAAGGGGAGAGGUGCAUAGAUCCAAGAGGCAAGAGGCAGCCAGCAGAGGAAGGGCAGAGCUACACAGGAACAAAAAUUGUCUUAUAAUGCAAAUAAAGUCCCCCAAACAGUCUCUUGGAGUCACCCUCAAAAGAAUAGAUAAAAAAAAAAUGUCUGUG